AACAGAGAGAGGGAGAGAGAGAGGGAGGAAAGACAAAGGGCCUCCGGUUGGAGUUGAAUCCAGGCUGAUGCAUUUAGCCUGCUGGCAUACACGGCUAAAUGCUAAAUGCUUGACCUGUGAGCCAAAGCGGCACUGAUUCAGGAUAUCUCCUCUCCUCCGAUGGGACGGAACAAGAUGUGAAGAUGCAGGAAUGAAAACUGCAACGCCAUCCACCCACUCCUGUCACCUCUGAGGUGCAGUGUCCACAAAUCAGGCAUUAGAUUUAUCUAUUAAAGGGAAUAUCAGUGAAAAAGAGGAGGAGGAAUACUUCACAUGCUGAAGCAAUCUCGUGGAUUGCUUCAGCAUGUGCUGCACAAAACCACGUGCGGCUUGGAGUUAUUAAAACCAACACGCUGGACGCUGUUGAUUCUUUCGUUUGAGGAGGUGGAGAUGAUGCAAAGGGUUCUGGGUCUGCACUUGGGGAUACACAGACAGGUCUGCCUGAGCAUGAGAGGGAGGCAGGCAGGGAGGCGUCUAGAAGCAUCCACAGCACAUAGGGGAGCAUGAGAACGACUUCAAACUCCAGCUUAGAAAAAAC